rnacentral:rRNA from 1 species
CUGGCUCAGGAUGAACGCUGGCGGCGUGCCUAACACAUGCAAGUCGAACGGAGCUACUUGAAGGAGACUUCGGUCAACGGAAGGGUAAGCUUAGUGGCGGACGGGUGAGUAACGCGUGGAGAACCUGCCCUGUACAGGGGGAUAACAGUGAGAAAUCACUGCUAAUACCGCAUAAGCGCACAGUACCGCAUGGUACAGUGUGAAAAACUCCGGUGGUACAGGAUGGCUCUGCGUUGGAUUAGCCAGUUGGCGGGGUAACGGCCCACCAAAGCGACGAUCCAUAGCCGGCCUGAGAGGGUGAACGGCCACAUUGGGACUGAGACACGGCCCAGACUCCUACGGGAGGCGGCAGUGGGGAAUAUUGCACAAUGGGGGAAACCCUGAUGCAAGCGACGCCGCGUGAAGGAAGAAGUAUCUCGGUAUGUAAACUUCUAUCAGCAGGGAAGAUGAUGACGGUACCUGACUAAGAAGCCCCGGCUAACUACGUGCCAGCCGCAGC